rnacentral:rRNA from 1 species
UAAGGAAUAUUGGUCAAUGGGCGAAAGCCUGAACCAGCCAUGCCGCGUGAGGGAUGAAGGUCCUCUGGAUUGUAAACCUCUUUUAUCUGUGAAUAAAUGUCUCGUUUCUACGGGAUUUGAAGGUAAUAGAUGAAUAAGCACCGGCUAACUCCGUGCCAGCAGCCGCGGUAAUACGGAGGGUGCAAGCGUUAUCCGGAUUCACUGGGUUUAAAGGGUGCGUAGGUUGAUAGGUAAGUCAGUGGUGAAAUACUCCGACUCAAUCGGAGAACUGCCGUUGAUACUAUCUAUCUUGAAUGCGGUGGAGGCGGGCGGAAUGCGUCAUGUAGUGGUGAAAUACUUAGAUAUGACGCAGAACACCCAUUGCGAAGGCAGCUCGCUACGCCGUGAUUGACACUGAGGCACGAAAGCGUGGGGAUCAAACAGG